rnacentral:tRNA from 1 species
GGUUCUAUAGUGUCAUGGUUAUCACGUCUGCUUUACAAGUAUGUCCUGGGUUCAAUCCCCAGUGGAACCA